rnacentral:rRNA from 1 species
AACCCCUGUGAACAUACCUAUACGUUGCCUCGGCGGAUCAGCCCGCGCCCCGUAAAACGGGACGGCCCGCCCGAGGACCCCUAAACUCUGUUUUUAGUGGAACUUCUGAGUAAAACAAACAAAUAAAUCAAAACUUUCAACAACGGAUCUCUUGGUUCUGGCAUCGAUGAAGAACGCAGCAAAAUGCGAUAAGUAAUGUGAAUUGCAGAAUUCAGUGAAUCAUCGAAUCUUUGAACGCACAUUGCGCCCGCCAGUAUUCUGGCGGGCAUGCCUGUUCGAGCGUCAUUUCAACCCUCAAGCUCAGCUUGGUGUUGGGACUCGCGGUAACCCGCGUUCCCCAAAUCGAUUGGCGGUCACGUCGAGCUUCCAUAGCGUAGUAAUCAUACACCUCGUUACUGGUAAUCGUCGCGGCCACGCCGUAAAACCCCAACUUCUGAAUGUUGACCUCGGAUCAGGUAGGAAUACCGCUGAACUUAA